GUGGCUAUAGUACAACGGUUAGUGCGGCAGAUUGUGGCUCUGCAUAUCCGGGUUCGAUUCCCGGUAGUCACCCCA
rnacentral:tRNA from 1 species